rnacentral:rRNA from 1 species
GACGAACGCUGGCGGCGUGCCUAAUACAUGCAAGUAGAACGCUGAAGAGAGGAGCUUGCUCUUCUUGGAUGAGUUGCGAACGGGUGAGUAACGCGUAGGUAACCUGCCUGGUAGCGGGGGAUAACUAUUGGAAACGAUAGCUAAUACCGCAUAAUAGUAGAUGUUGCAUGACAUUUGCUUAAAAGGUGCAAUUGCAUCACUACCAGAUGGACCUGCGUUGUAUUAGCUAGUUGGUGAGGUAACGGCUCACCAAGGCAACGAUACAUAGCCGACCUGAGAGGGUGAUCGGCCACACUGGGACUGAGACACGGCCCAGACUCCUACGGGAGGCAGCAGUAGGGAAUCUUCGGCAAUGGACGGAAGUCUGACCGAGCAACGCCGCGUGAGUGAAGAAGGUUUUCGGAUCGUAAAGCUCUGUUGUAAGAGAAGAACGAAUGUGAGAGUGGAAAGUUCACACUG